CGUACAAAGUGCCAUAAACAGGAGUGCGUACUGGCCCCCUGCGCGUACUCCAGAGGGUCUCCCUCUCCGCUUCUCCCUCUCGGCAAACCCAAGCUUUCAAAACCGUCCAGAUGCGAAAACCCUAACACCCUUCUCCAUUUCCGUACUCCAGAAUACCCCUUUUUCUCCUUCACAAAUCCCCAAAUCCUCAAAUCCCAAACCUAUCCCGUCCCUCCUCACCUCACGACCCUCUCUUUCUGCGGCGGCGGUAGCAGCAGCAGCAGAGAAGACGGCUCCCUCUCUUUAUCUGUCACACCCUAGAAAUCCUCGGAGCCUCCGAUCAGGAAGCUUCGUCGAGAAGAGAUUUCUCAGCUUCCGUCUCUUUAUAACCCUAACGCCUCGAACGCCGAUCUGCUGGUGUUUUUCUUCGAUUGGGUGGGACAGAAUCUAGGAUUUCGCGAUUCUGGUGUUCUCUUUUCGUGAUCUGCUGUUUCUAGGCGGAGAAAGGAAUCUAAGCGGCCAUCAGAUUCCAGCAUUCUCGCUGAUUUCAGCACGUAUACUAGAUUUCUAUUUCCGUUAUCAGUGACCAUCAUGGAAAACGCCGUGAAUCAUGACAAUGCGUUGAUAGAAUUUCUCAUGCGCUCCCAAGACGACACAACAGAAUGCCGCAUCGCACCGGUUACGGAACGCCGUCGGGCUGAGGAUCGUAUGAUGAUCGGUGGUUUUGAAGGAGCUGAAUACAUCGAACCAUACGAGGGCAUGGAGUUUGAUUCCGAGGAGGCCGCGAGGGUGUUCUACAAUGCGUAUGCACGGCGUGCUGGUUUCGGCAUCCGCCUCAGCAACAACCUCCGCUCGAAGAAAGAUAGGAGAACAAUCGCUCGGAAAUUUGUGUGUUUCAAGGAGGGCUUUCGUGCGAAGAAGCAUCUGUAUAAUGUAAACAGAAUUAAGAAGCCACGGGCAAUCACUAGAGAAGGCUGUGGGGCGAUGUUGAUGGUGAAGAAAACGGAGCUCGGUAAGUGGGUUGUUACAAAAUUUGUGAAGGAGCAUAAUCAUCCAUUUCUUAGUCCAAAUGAAGUUAUGCUGCUUCGGUCCCACAGGAAUGCAUCUGAUACUCCAAAAAGUCGGAUGAAACAUUCUGAUGGGGAAGCAAGUAAAACGGUGUCCAUUUUUGGUGUCGAAGGCAGUGGAAUGAACAAUGCUGGUUAUGGAGAGCAAGAUGUUGGAAACCAUGGCCAAACUGGCCCAAAAAGAAAGAAGAACCUCGGAAGAGAUAUUGAGAAUGUCCUGGACUAUUUCAGGCGCAUGCAGUCUGAGAAUCCUGCCUUCUAUUAUGCAAUACAGGUCGAUGAGGCUCGGUCUUCGUGCAGUAUGUUCUGGUCUGAUGCGAGGUCGCGGAUGGCUUGCAACUACUUUGGUGAUGUGGUUUACUUUGACAUGAUAUAUGAGAUGAAUCGAUACGAAAUGUCAGUUGCUCUAUUCACUGGAGUGAACCAUCACCAACGGUCAGUGUUGUUUGGCUGUGCACUGCUUAUUGAUGAAUCCGAAGCAUCAUUUGUUUGGCUAUUUAAGGCAUGGCUCGAAGCAAUGUGUGGGCACCAUCCUAUCUCCAUCAUCACUGACCAAGAUGCGACUAUUGGAGCAGCAAUUGCAGAGGUUUUCCCAGAAACCCAUCAUUGUUUUAACAAGUGGCACAUCUUAAAUAAUGCCCCAAAGCAGUUGUCUCAUGUGUAUCUCACAUAUCCCACCUUCCAAAGGGAAUUCGAGAAAUGCAUCAACCUAACUGAGACAAUCGAUGAGUUUGAAUCAUGUUGGGAGUUGCUUGUUGAUAGAUAUGAGCUAAGGGGGAAUGAAUGGCUUCAGUUAUUAUACAGUGCUCGUAAAAAAUGGGUCCCAGUGUACUUACGGGGUACAUUCUUUGGACAAAUGCCUACAAGUCCACGGGGUGAAAUUAUAAAUUCAUUCUUGGAUGGUUACAUGAAUGCAAACACCAAUUUGCAAGAGUUCGUUUCACAGAUGGAAAGACGCUUAGAAACUUGGUAUGAAAAGGAACUCGAAGAAGACGUUCAGACAAUGCAUGCCAAACCGGAUUUGAAGACGAAAUUAUUGAUUGAAAAACAAGUGGCAACCAUUUAUACGACACGAAUGUUUCAGAAAUUUCAAGAGGAAAUAUUUGAAAGCGUGGCCUAUGCUGCAAACAAAAUAGCAGAAGAUGGGGAAGUUAGCACAUUUAGGGUGGCAAAAUAUGAGGAUAAUCAAAGGAGGGCACAUACUGUUACAUUACACGUGGCCGAAAGAAGAGCAGGUUGUAGCUGUCAGAUGUUUGAGUUUUUAGGCAUACUUUGUCGGCACAUAUUAAAAGUUUUCAUCAUAUCAAAUAUCACAGUGCUUCCUCCUCAUUACAUCUUAGAGCGCUGGACAAGAAACGCAAAGGGUCGUGAUGUUUUUGACGAUCGAGGUGUUGCAAUUCGAGCUAAUACUCGAGAGUCAGUGACCUUGCGGUACAAUAAUCUAUGUAAGCAAGCCAUUAGAUGUGUGGAGGAAGGGGCGACUGCUGGAGAGAGUUACGAUGUGGCAGUUCAUGCUCUACGAGCAGCUUGGGAAAGAAUUGUUGCCUCCAAAGAAAGGUUAGCUAGAGGUACACAGCUUGGCACUCCUGUUGGUGGUAGUACUCGGGCAGACAUUAUUCCUGUGCAGAGUGAAGCAGAUGAUACAACAAACCAUAUAACUUUGAGUGACCCUCGACAAUUGUACCCUUGGCAUCUGUAGUUCCAGACCUAACAGUUACCAUUAACGUGAAGUUACAUUUUCUGAUCUAGAUAACUUCUCUUGCAAAUUCAAGGCUUGGGAACACAAAUGACUCCUUGGUGGCUGGGAGCUGCUUCAUCUGGACCUUGGAUGCUUUUUAGGUUUUUUGGUUUUUUUUUUCCUUUGUUGUUUUUAUCUGAUGUUUUGCUAGUUCUUAUAUAAGCUUCCUUGUGAGAAUUUCUCCUCUUUUAGAUAUGUAAGAACCAAAACAAAAACAUUGAAUGGGAUUAGCUUUUUCAGAUAUCUUAUUUUUGUGGA